GACGAACGCUGGCGGCGUGCUUAACACAUGCAAGUCGAACGGUGAUGCUCCAGCUUGCUGGAGUGGAUCAGUGGCGAACGGGUGAGUAACACGUGAGCAACCUGCCCCAGACUCUGGAAUAAGCGCUGGAAACGGCGUCUAAUACUGGAUACGAAACUGGCCCGCAUGGGCAUGGUUUGGAAAGUUUUUCGGUUUGGGAUGGGCUCGCGGCCUAUCAGCUUGUUGGUGAGGUAAUGGCUCACCAAGGCGACGACGGUUAGCCGGCCUGAGAGGGCGACCGGCCACACUGGGACUGAGACACGGCCCAGACUCCUACGGGAGGCAGCAGUGGGGAAUAUUGCACAAUGGGCGAAAGCCUGAUGCAGCGACGCCGCGUGAGGGAUGACGGCCUUCGGGUUGUAAACCUCUUUCAGCAGGGAAGAAGCGAAAGUGACGGUACCUGCAGAAGAAGCACCGGCUAACUACGUG
rnacentral:rRNA from 1 species